UACGUAUGGGCCUAGCGUUGUCCGGAUUUCUUGGGCGUAAAGAGCUCGUAGGCGGUUCGGCAAGUUGGAUGUGAAAUCUCCACGCUCAACGUGGAGCGGCCAUCCGAAACUGCUGUGACUCGAGUCCGGUAGGGGAGUGUGGAAUUCCCGGUGUAGCGGUGAAAUGCGCAGAUAUCGGGAGGAACACCGAUGGCGAAGGCAGCUCGCUGGGACGGUACUGACGCUGAGGCGCGAAAGCGUGGGGAGCGAACAGG
rnacentral:rRNA from 1 species